GAAACAUUUGAACAUGACAGCAAGGCCCUGCAGAGAGUGGUUCAUUCAGCUGAACACACAAUAGGUGGUGCUUUACCCUGCCUCCAUAAUAUUUAUACCUGGUGU